AGAGUUUGAUCCUGGCUCAGGAUGAACGCUAGCUACAGGCUUAACACAUGCAAGUCGAGGGGCAGCAUGUUGGUUGCUUGCAACCAAUGAUGGCGACCGGCGCACGGGUGAGUAACGCGUAUCCAACCUACCCUUGUCCAUCGGAUAACCCGUCGAAAGGCGGCCUAACACGAUAUGCGGUUCACAGCAGGCAUCUAAGGUGAACGAAAUGUGAAGGAGAAGGAUGGGGAUGCGUCUGAUUAGCUUGUUGGCGGGGUAACGGCCACCAAGGCGACGAUCAGUAGGGGUUCUGAGAGGAAGGUCCCCCACAUUGGAACUGAGACACGGUCCAAACUCCGUAGGGAGCA
rnacentral:rRNA from 1 species